GGAAUUCUAAACAUUCUGAAUUCCAUCAAUGCAAGCCAAUGCAGUCUUAAACCCCAUACUUUGCUUGGAAAGGAAGUUUUUAAAACCAUGUGACCGGAUUAGAAAAACUGGUCCCAUCAUAGCCCAUAGAAAAUGUCCCCACCACUCUGGGACCUAUGGUGCUACCAGUCUGCUCACAGUUGUCAUCAGCUAAGUGAGUGCCCCUCCUGUUCCCUGAUUUAAGAGGUGAUGACCACUCCACUACCACUGAACUGAAGCCACGUCUCAUGUGCCCUCUCAUCCACUGCCACAUUGAAUGUUUCCUCUCCAAGCACUUAAAAUCCUGUCCUGCCCCCAGUAGAAGAGUUGAGCUCUUCUCCAACACCAUCCGUUCAUGAUGAGCCUGUCCUGCACUGAAGCCUCUGAACACCUCAACUCAUGCCUCAUACACUCAUUCAAUCACUGCUGUGAUCCCUUCCCAACGCUGUCUUCUGGGUGUCAGGAGUUGUCUGCCCAGAGCAUCACCGGGGGCCCUCCAGGACAUCUAUAGCACCCGGUAUCAUAGGAAGGCCAAAAAGUUCAUCAAGGACCUCAGCCACCCAAGCCACAUCCUGUUCACCCUGCUACCAUACAGAAUGUGAUGUCCGUACAGGUGCAUCAAAGCUGGGACAGAGAGACUGAAAGCUUAUAUCUUCUUUUGAAAAUCUUGGCCGUGUACUGUUAUAAUCUCAACCCGGCACAGCCAGAAGAGGACUGACUACCCCUCAGAGCCUGGUUCCUCUCUAGGUUUCUUCCUAGGUUCCUGCCUUUCUAGGGAGUUUUUCCUAGCCACUGUGCUUCUACAUCUGCAUUGCUUGCUGUUUGGGGUUUUAGACUGGGUUUCUGUAUAGCACUUUGUGACAUCGGCUGAUGUAAAAAGGGCUUGAUUGUCACGCCCUGGCCAUAGAG
rnacentral:lncRNA from 1 species